rnacentral:hammerhead_ribozyme from 1 species
AGGUCACUGAUGAGUCUAGACGAAACGCGCGUCUGGCGU